CCUACGGGUGGCUGCAGUUGGGAAUCUUGGACAAUGGGGGAAACCCUGAUCCAGCCAUGCCGCGUGAGUGAUGAAGGCCUUCGGGUUGUAAAACUCUUUCGACGGGGACGCGGUACCCGUAGAAGAAGCUCCGGCUAACUUCGUGCCAGCAGCCGCGGUAAUACGAAGGGGGCUAGCGUUGUUGGGAAUUACUGGGCGUAAAGCGCGCGCAGGCGGCUAUCCAAGUCAGUGGUGAAAGCCCGGAGCUCAACUCCGGAACUGCCAUUGAAACUGUUUAGCUUGAGGAUGAGAGAGGUGAGUGGAAUUCCCAGUGUAGAGGUGAAAUUCGUAGAUAUUGGGAAGAACACCGGUGGCGAAGGCGGCUCACUGGCUCAUACUGACGCUCAGGCGCGAUAGCGUGGUGAUCAAACAGGAUUAGAUACCCGAGUAGUC
rnacentral:rRNA from 1 species